rnacentral:lncRNA from 12 species
AUGGCGUCCGCGGUGCUGGAUGUGCACCGUCCAUCCCGGUGCACGGCGGGCGGGGCGCUCCCCCCACAGCAGGCGGUGGCGAGGGCCCGGGACACCCGGCGUCUGGGCUCGACGCCUCAACGCGGCCUCCGUCCGAGAGGGCGGUCGGCGACCACACACCGGGCGACGCCCCGACGCACGUGCGGCGAGCGUGCGCUCACGUGCCGGGCUCCGACUUCCGGGUCACGGCCCGACGUCAGGUCACGUGCUCUUCCCGACUUCCGCUGGCGACCGUGUAGAGACGCAAGGGCCGGCCUGGGCCCCGGGGCGGAGCCCCCCCCCGUCAGCCUGCUCUCUUCCUCGUUUGCGGUGAGCUCUCCCCACCGCCCCCCGCGACACGGCCCCGCGUGGGCGCUUCCGCGCUCCCUACCCCCGCCCCCUCGUGACAUGGCCCCGCGUCACAGCGAAGCUGGCCGGCGGGCUGAGGCGUCUCUGUCCGGCGUUACAGGCCGCGCGGCGACGGGAGCGGAAGGCCGAGGCCGGCGGCCGAAGAGCCCCCUGAGGCAGGCGCACCCCGUCAGCUCCACCGGGUCGCGGGGAGCAGGUCGCGGGUCGCGGGUCCCUCUGCCGCGCGGGGGUCACGUCUUGCCCGUAACAAGUGUUUGCACACAGGCUCAGAGAAAGUUCAGAGCGCACAUCACAAGUACCUCUGAUACCUCGUAGGUGCCCAGCUGAGGUGGAAUGGACAUUCCUGUGUGCGGGGAAGGCUCAUGCAGAGGCCUCUCCUGACCUGUACGUGUGGGGGCAAAGCCAUUCCGAAGCAAGAGAACCACUGCUUACUAACCACAGAUGUCUGGGAAUGCUCCAGCAGCAGCGAGCAGCUACAAACCUCACCUAUGAUCUUUAUUGAAAUUAAAUUUUUGUGGUCUCUUCUCACACAAUCCUUUUCCCAAAACCAAUUUACAUAAUUUGGUAUAAUUUGAAAUGAUUGACAUGGGUUGCUAAUUGUUGGGGUAGAAACUAGACCCUCACAGUAGCUAAGUCUCGAAGGCAAAGGUUAGAAUCCAGCAACCGGUAGUGUGGGUCGAAUUGAUAUUAGUUUAAUAAUCUGUAAACUAUGCAAGAAAAUGUAAUUGUCCUACAUUACAAGGGUAGUCCUUCCACUGCACAGUUUAUUCAAAUGUAUAAUCUAAAUAAUUGAGUACCUCUGCCUACAAUAGAGCAUUUCCUCAUAUGCAAACACCAUUUAAUAGACAGUUAAAUCCAAACAGAUGGAUAAAAGAUGCCAGAACAUAAUUGGUUUGCUUUUGAUUAUUUCAUUGAUACCAAUUUACUUAAAGAGCAAGUCUGGACAUGGUAGGAUUUUUUGUCACAGAAUAUUCGGUUUGACAGAGAGGAGUUAAGGGAUUCAGUGAUCCUCGUUCAGCCUCCACACGUGAAAGCUUGGGGAGAAAUGAAAUCUUGACCAAAUGUUUGGCUUUGUCUUUGCUUAGAGCUAACAACACAAACCUUUGAUAAAAACUAAAGUCUUCUUGUUACUUGAGAUCUUCUUAAUGGUUUCUUGGUUUCACAGUAGGUAUCCACCUACUGCAAAUUCUUCUGAAUAGCUGGAGAACACUCCAUUUUAAAAAUAUAAGAAGUAAUUAUUGAUGAUUGUUUUUAAAAUGCAGCUAUACUUCCAAGUCUUAGUUAAAUUACUGUAUUUUAAGGGAUCCUGGAUGUUUUCUUUAAGCAUGUUAAAUAAAAUCUGAAAACUGAAGGAGUAUAGCCGUGAA